UAUUUAAUAAAAAAUCCAUUAUAGCAACUGCUGCCGACUUUUUAUUUUUAAAGGUAAAGGAAAGCUUGCUUUUUUUCUCACCGCUCAAGGAUUCAGCUUUGAAAACUUAUGUGGAUGUAAACAUUGGUGCCCAACUCCCAUAGUUUGCCAUGGGACCUUUGGAGUUAAAUACAGCAAAAACAAGAGUAAAAGGAAUAAAACACUCUUAGAAAUAAAAAGCUCUCUUUCUCCUUUUAGUCUGCUACAGUACAUUUGACAGCUGCUGUCCAAUCAAAUUCAGUUUACAAUAGGGUGAUUUAAACAAACGUUUCGUAUUCCACAUCAUUUCUGUGACCUGUCAGUAUUUAAACGAAGCUGUUAUAACGUUAAAAGGUUUCCUCAUAGUUUAUUGUGAAUGGCAAAGAAGUUUUUCCUUUUUAAUAUUCUUCAGGAAGUUUUCCUCAUGACACGAGGAUGUUAAAUUUGUUAUUUAUAAUAGAUACUUCUGAAAAGGUGGUAUUUUAAUAUUAAUUCUUUCUUUCCCAUUCCAAUAUAAUGAUAUUUACACAUUUUUUUUUAAAAAAGUAUAACUACACCAUAAAAUAUAGGAGAAACUGUAUGUAAGUUUCCCAUUUUAAAGGGUUGUCCUGUAUAAGAUUCAGAUAAAAAAUGGACAGUUCACCAGUCCCCACUGAAGAUGACACUAGAAAAUUAAAAACUUAAAUCUUAUCAGGUUACUCAAAAAGGCAGAAUUGCUUUUGUGCAUGAAACUCAGUUUCUUGUGCAGGAAACCCAGCAGGAAUUAAAAUGUCAAAAAUCAAUACAAAUCAGAUAACAUGAUAUAUGUAACCCUGAUAUUUACUUUAAAAAUGUUGUUAUCUAUUUACAAUCAGGGGUGGGGAAAACAAGUUAGCAUUGAACAGAUUUCCGCACUGUAAAGUAAGGGGAUAUUACUUUCUAUUAACUCUUUAAGAACUUGAUUGCUCUCAAGCAUCACAUUGCAAGCAAAAGGAGCUCA